rnacentral:rRNA from 1 species
CUAAUACAUGCAAGUCGAACGAGCCCUUCGGGGCUAGUGGCGCACGGGUGCGUAACGCGUGGGAAUCUGCCCUUGGGUUCGGAAUAACGUCUGGAAACGGACGCUAAUACCGGAUGAUGACGNAAGUCCAAAGAUUUAUCGCCCAGGGAUGAGCCCGCGUAGGAUUAGCUAGUUGGUGAGGUAAAGGCUCACCAAGGCGACGAUCCUUAGCUGGUCUGAGAGGAUGAUCAGCCACACUGGGACUGAGACACGGCCCAAACUCCUACGGGAGGCAGCAGGAGGGAAUAUUGGACAAUGGGGGCAACCCUGAUCCAGCAAUGCCGCGUGAGUGAUGAAGGCCUUAGGGUUGUAAAGCUCUUUUACCCGGGAUGAUAAUGACAGUACCGGGAGAAUAAGCCCCGGCUAACUCCGUGCCAGCAGCCGCGGUAAUACGGAGGGGGCUAGCGUUGUUCGGAAUUACUGGGCGUAAAGCGCACGUAGGCGGCGAUUUAAGUCAGAGGUGAAAGCCCGGGGCUCAACCCCGGAAUAGCCUUUGAGACUGGAUUGCUUGAACAUCGGAGAGGUGAGUGGAAUUCCGAGUGUAGAGGUGAAAUUCGUAGA